ACCGCCGAGGCCUGCCUCUCCAGUUAGCCGGGAGCCAGCCAAAUGGCGACGCGCGCCUCCACUCCGUUCGUCCAGGCGUCGCCGGCUGAGCGAGCGUGCGUGCGUUGAGGGCGAUGAGCUCGAUCUGCUUCUAAAGCGUCGCGGGGGGUCGCUGUUGGUUGGUUCACCGCCGGCUCGUACGCGGGUGGCUGGGGAGGCGCCGGGAGGAAGUGGAGAGAGGCGCAUUGCCAUGGCCACCGUGUGUUAGUCGGCCGUGCCCGCCAGUAACGCCGUCCGCGCUGGCCAGAACCACUGCGUUGGGCGCCAGCCGCGGACGCGCGCGCGCGCUCCAGUAGGAAACAGAGCACCGCCGCGCGCGUGUUGCCCACAGUCACUGCUAAUUAAGCUCGCUGACGCUGCUCUCGUCCCGUUACGAAUUCGUUCUUUGCUUCCCUUUUUCGAGGCUCGUUUCACUUGUCCGACAGUCUCCGUCUUCACCACAUGCAUGGCUGCCCCUGUACGCCAACUUGCCAAGAUUCGUGCGGCGUCUCCCUUUGCCUGUACUACUACAUUCAAUACUACCUGUCCAGUCAGUCCAAUUAGCUGCUUGCUUGACCCGGGGCACAGCCCAAGGGGCAACCCGCCGCCUUCGGUAGUUUGCCUUUUUGGUGAAAGGCCUGUCGGUGGAAGGACAUGCCAGAUCUGGAAGGGACGUAGCACAGUGAUCCCGGAGCAUAUGACGCAUAUGUCCCCGGCAGGCAGCAUGACUCGACGCUCUGCCGGUCUGCCCGGUCGAAACGUAUGCCUCUACCAGCGCCUGACGUUUCGACCGUGGAGACCCGCCACGCGACCAGGCGCGCGUGGCCCCAAGCUGCUUGUUUAUUACGACGCGGCUUCCUUCCUUGGCCUGAGCUGCUAUCUAUCUAUGCCUCCUUCCCCCAUCUCUCUCUCCGUUUCCAUUUGCUGCUGCUUCUUCUGGAGUUUCUCCUCUCCUGCCCUUCAGUCUCUGGCUCUCUGCAAGACGCGGCAAAGGUGGGUCAACGCGUGUGCUCGAGUUCUUUGAUGCUUUGGUUGAUGUUGUUGCUCAUCUCAUGGAUAAGUGCUGUUGUUGAUUUUUCAUGAUAUGCACGAGCGGGGGUUUGAUUUCCGUCACCGCGGCCUGAGACGAGGGUAGAGCGGACGUGUGCUUCCGUUCCGUGCAAGGCGGGAUCAACCUGACAACAUGAGCGAGGGCAUCCUUGCCCAAGGCCAAGAUGAAGGAAGGAAGGAAGGAAGGAGGACGGCGCGGCGAGGCAAUCGGUGCAGUGACCGCACCGUGGUCGAGCUCACGGAUGGGCGUGCCGCCAUUGCCGGCGCCGGCACCGUGUCAGGCAGCCUGCAAUACAAACCGGCUUACUAAUGCUACGGAAUAAGCUAGACAAUUCUCAGAAAAAUGGAAAAAGAACCCGCUUGUCACUGGCUUACGGUCGUGGAAGACAGUAGGGAGAAAGGUGGUGCCGAAGGGAUCUCAUCUACGAUGAAGGUGACACGGUGGUUUUACCCAGGUUCAAGCCUCCAGAUGGAUAAAAGUCCUACAUCUUGCCUAAUAAGCUUUAUUGAUCAAUGAGGGGAUUAAAAUGAUGUAUAACUAACUUAUGAAAAACUAGAUUACAUGCAUGUUUCUCCUGGAGUUUGAUGAUCUUUGACUAAGGGACACUCGCCCCUAUGUAGGUUGCGGGCGAUGGUGAUAGUUGUCUUCGAGGGAUACAAUACGAUAAUGUGAUCCCGCUGUUAUAGGGAGUGUAUCUCUCAUAACUGCCAAAUCUCUAGCUUAGUGCACACAUCCUUAUCCCUUUGAAGUGUCGGCUCGGUCACAACGAGGUGCAAGACAUUGGAAUAUUCAGACACCCUUUUGGUCACUUGGUACGCAGGCCAUUGAGGCAUCCUUCUUGGACUAGGUACAUGUAGUCACCGAGUAACCCCACCAGUACAUGAAAUGAAUCUAUUGUUAUGCUUAGUGGAUGCGGUGGGGAAAGUAUUAUCCACUCCCACUUGUAGAAUCUUCCCGUCUGGCUUGGCGGAGUGGGAGCCUCAAUCUAUGUAGUUCCCUUCGUCCUCUGUGGUUCAACACGUACCCACAAUCACAAUUUUGCUCCAAUAUUAGACCAAUGUAUGGAGACGAUAUUUGAGGUUGGAAAACGAAGAGUUCUUCAGCAAGGAACAGUGUUCAUUCAAACCGCUUCCGUUUGCUAGCGUGAAUUUUGGGUAGUGGCCUUGGUGUAUUUCGAUCUAAACCAUCACCGGUGCAGGGCGGGCUAUAAAAAACCACGAGAGGCUACUUGUCGAGACUCUUUUCCCUUUGGUUUAUCCACCCCCUUUUCUCCUCGCCCCUCUGCCAGAAUGGUAAAGUGGCCCAUGGACAAUGUCGACUCUUGAGCGAGAGGUAGCUACAUGAGUUGGUGGACGGUCACCUCCUGUAGGAGCAGGAGGCCAUACACUGGCGCUCUACCCUUAGGGAGGCCUCUACUCAGAAUAACCCUGACAAAUUGGUCGUAUUUGAAAGCUUCUGCCAGUGGGCCUUUUGAUCCCGCCAUCUGCCUUCAUGGGUAUCUUGGUCUGGUACCAAAUCGAGCUUACCCACCUCAGCCCGUCGUCCUUGGCGUUGCUUGCUUUUUUCAUGCACCUUUGUAAAGCUUGGCUUAGGGUAAGUCCAAACCUCGACAUGUGGCGGUACUUCUUCCAGCUCCAGAAAGCCGAAAAAAUCAUUGUAGAUAGGGUGUCUGACACCGCAUCAUUCCAUGUUUGCAUGGAGCAACAUAGAGAUUACAUCACCAGACGUUUCCCCCCACCGCCAGGUUAGUGGUCAAUGUCAUUUUAUUGUCGGGGCGAAUUCAGGGAGGCUCCCUGACCGAGAUUCCUGAGUAGAGUUCCAGGCCUACCUCCCUAUGGCAGCUAUGUUCUAUCGCCCCACUAUUGCUGGUAAAGAUCUUCAUGCCAAGGAUGUAACCCGAGACUUCUUGGGGCGCCACAUUUUCCUUCGAUGUUUAAGGUCUUAAGCUUCAUGCACUAGCCAAUGCAACUAGGCAACCACAUAUACACUUCAACACCUCUCUCACGUGUGACGCGGGAAGUCGACAUGUGGAUAGACUCACAGGUAUGGCUCACAAGGCCUAUACAUGGACACAAAGGGGGCAACAACAAUUUUUGGAUAAACUGCGAAAGCCGGAACUUGAACUCAAGACCUUAGGCUCUGAUACCAGGUUAAGCUUUCUGCAUCUAGCCAACGCAACCAAAAGUCCGAACUAAUGAAAAUGGUUAGAAAAUCCACAUAUACACUUCAACAUGAGGGAGUCGCGGAGUUCUCCGAUGAAAGAAGUGAUAUCCAUUGUGAUUGAUAAGGUUUUGCUUGCCUCAACCAAGCGUCAUCAUACUGAGUGAUCCACUUCUAGCCGACCCUUCACCACAGCAAGUUGUACACACCUCUGAUCGUUCAGAUAAGGUUGGAGUUCCCUCCCUGUUUGGCCCGAUGGCUGGAGCAUAUCGGGUGCACAACUGCCACCACUUGGCACUGGCCGAAACCAAGGAGAGAUUUCUCACUAGGAGCUAGGGGUUCUGAGGCUAGAAACCCCUAACUCGGAAAUGAGGAAGAGGAGGGAUGAGCCUGACCCCACGAAGCUCCCUCUGAAGCACCCUUGCGGUGGUAGACGAGGGAUAACCCAACUAACGGUGAUCCCCCCUUUUGUUGGUUGAUGCUCUUCUGUGGGUGGGCUUCGGUCUUAUUUUUCCUAUGAAGCCCUGGUUCCAGUGGAUAGUUUUGGAGGCGAUGACAUUGUGAUCCCUCCCACAAUCCAAUGGUGACCCGAUCGGUCCGACUUAGAUAGCUGGGAGGCCCAUCAAGGCUAGAUGAGGACGAGCUUUGCUUAUAGGAGUUACAUGCGGGUCUUCCUACCAAGGUGGAUGAGACAAAUUGCUUGCCAUCCUUACCAUGUGCUAGGGUAAUACUUUUCUUGGCUAGUUAAACAUUAACCUCCUCGUAUGUACAAUCGUCUCUUUUGGGGUCUCGCAAGUCAAGGCGAGAUGGGGCCGACCUAAGGGGGUGUCAGAUUUGAAGGCCAAGUAGCUUUUUCUGAGAGCAAGAUAAUGUUUGGCUUGGCUCGCACACCCAACUCCUGGAGCGUCGAUUGGCCAUGGUGUGGUAAAAAGCAUCACGUUGCGUUGGCCCGGGAGGCACAUUAGCAAAGGGAAAGCAUUGGUACGGUAGAGAUUGUCUUUUCCCUUGAGAGGUCCUUGGUGGCGACGGACCUGUCACUACGGUCCGUGUAUGAAGACUGUGGAAACUUCUUAUCUCGAGCGGGGUUGCAAAUCGUGCCCCGAGGGACCUUUAUGACCUUGGGAAUCCAUGAUAGAUUUACGACUCUUGUGUUGCCUUGAUGUGCGAGAUGGUGACACGGGAAUUGAGUUCGGGAAACAAGAAAGCAGGCGCUAAAGUUUUGUCCUACAUCACCGACAGCUUCCUUACGGUCAAUCCAUCGACGAUACGGGACCUUUCCUAAGGGUUUUGAGGAAUUGCUACUUCCUUUGUGGGGAUACUUGACCCCUGACAACCAUGGAGGAUGUUCCGGCCUCUAGGCGGCUCAAGUUUAUAGGCUCUUCACCUAUAACACCAAACAUGCAUCACAAAAACUAGGGAAAACAAUACCAAAUUUCCUCCGCUUUCUGAG